GAAAGCCAAGUGGAGGAAGAAACGAAUGCUCAGGCUGAGAGUAACAGAAGAAAGAUGAGGCAGAGGUCCAAGUAAACCGCCAGCUUGUGAACCCAAGAUCGGAAGAGAGUGUGUAGGGAGAGAGUG